GAUUUGGGGUCGCCACAGGUUGGUAUCAAAGCCAUAAGCAUGAAUUUGCAAAGAGCCUCGAGCCUUUAUCUGGUGACAUCCCUUUAAGGGAAGGCACCGAAGCCAGACUCUCCGUAGGGGACGCCGAUUUAGUCGGUGGCAAGUUGAUAGGUACCCUUGUGAGGUGCUAUGGUUGGAAGCACCAUGAGUGUCACAGGUUGGUAUCAAAGCUGUAGGUUAUAAACUUUAGGAAUGCGAAACCUAGGUUAUAACCUUAGUAGAAUGGAGAACGAAAGUUAAGAUAGAUAUUCAGUGAACCAUGAGACGAAGUACUCUGGUGAAGAAUUAUAGGAUAUGAUGAGUCGAGAAGAUUCAUCAAGUGGUACUAAAUAAAAUAUUCCUUCAUUUUAUCGAUGAAUAUAUUUUAUUUCGGUACUAAUGUUGUCUCGUUUAUUGUGGUCAUAGGAUGGAUGACGAAAGUCAAGAUAGUAAUUCCUUGACCUAAGAGACGAUGGACUCUAGCGAGGAGUACACAGACAAUGAGAUGAUUAGAGAUUUGAUAGUUAGGAACGACGACUUAAAGGUUAGAAUCGAGCAAGCGGAGGCACGAAAUCGUACUCUCCAGAUUUCAGAACAGCAGUACAAGGACGCUGCUCACCAAACACAGAUGGAGUUAACCGAGCUACGAGAGAGGUUGGAGCAGAGGGAGAUACAGAUAUGACAGUUGAAGGUUGAGGUAGAAGCCAAAGACACCAGGAUAUAUACCUUGGAGCAGGCUUUAGACAUCGCCUUUAUGCGAUUCGAUGCAGAGUGGAUGGAGCUGCCUUUCGGCAGAGAAAGAUAGGCGUUGAUGUGUUUAUAGAGAUGGAUUGAAUAAAUUCAUCGUCAAACAAAAUAAGAGAUAACGUAUAUAAAACUCUUGAUUGCUGUGUAUAUAUACUAUAUGCUAAUCAGGGUAACUUAUGUAUGUAGAUGUCUGGUGGAAAAGAUAUGUGGAAUAAGAAGGAUCAGAUCCAUACCCCCGAGCUAAUAUCGAGGUCAACAGCUGAAAUAGAGGCUCACAGGGAACCCAAGUCGGACAAGGU
rnacentral:lncRNA from 1 species